UACAGAGGUCCCAAGCGUUUGUUCGGAUUCAUUGGGCGUAAAGGGUGCGUAGGCGGCGCGGUAAGUCGGGUGUGAAAUCUCGGAGCUUAACUCCGAAACUGCAUUCGAUACUACCGUGCUUGAGGACUGGAGAGGAGACUGGAAUUUACGGUGUAGCGGUGAAAUGCGUAGAUAUCGUAAGGAAGACCAGUGGCGAAGGCGGGUCUCUGGACAGUUCCUGACGCUGAGGCACGAAGGUCAGGGGGAGCAAACGGGG
rnacentral:rRNA from 1 species